UUUUUUUUUUUUUUUUUUUAGUGCUCAACUUUCUACUUGCUGAGAGAAUCUGUUCAACUCAUCCAACAGAAAAUUAUCCCAUGGGGAAUUUUCUUCAGGCUUGUGAACUGAACUGAUUUGGUAGCUGGAGGAAGGUGGCCGUAGGCAAAGAAAGUACAUCUUUCUGCAUCUGCAUGCAGAGGAAAGCUGCAUCUUUCGGGUAUCACAGGUGAUGAGGAGAGUUACAAAGAGAGCGGAAGGAAACUUCUGGUAGUAAUGGGCGGCAAGAAAAAGGAAGAGAGAAUGGACAAAGGUUGCAUCCUGGGAAACUCAGACAAGCAAAAUUUCUUUGUAAGGUGUGAUGCAGAGAAUAACUUACAUGAAUAGAACAAGACAGAUCUGAGCUGCUGUCUGCACUACAUAAGACACUGGCCAGCUUCACCCCAGCUAUGACAGUGUGAUGUUGCCACUGUCUUGGCAGUCCCUACUCAGCUUCCUUCCCCAGCCACUUGCUUCUCUCGACCUACUAGCACUGCAGAGCACACAGCAAAAUACAGGAGCUUAGGUGCAUCCUACUACAAUCUGUAGAAAUAUCUGCUGUGAAACAAUGAGGAAAAAGUGUCAACAUGCUCUCAAAGAAAGGAAAAAUACAUACCUAAAAUCAGAAUCAUUCCAGCAGCAGGCACAGCUUUAGGAACUACCUGGCCCAUAGGUUACUGCCUGGCAGCAUGGAGAGACCAUGCAGUAAAUCUGUCUUGGGCACUGGCCAGCAGUCCAGUUGUAAACCUGAACUGCUCUAUCACAGUUCUCUCAAAAGGACUGAAAAUUUUUAGUUUGUGCAGGCAGCUGCUUU